UACGUAGGGGGCGAGCGUUGUCCGGAGUUACUGGGCGUAAAGAGCGCGCAGGCGGCCUGAUCAGUCGAAUGUGAAAGCCCCCGGCUUAACUGGGGAGGGUCAUUCGAUACUGUCAGGCUCGAAGGCAGGAGAGGGAAGCGGAAUUCCCGGUGUAGUGGUGAAAUGCGUAGAUAUCGGGAGGAACACCAGUGGCGAAGGCGGCUUUCUGGCCUGUUCUUGACGCUGAGGCGCGAAAGCCAGGGGAGCGAACGGG
rnacentral:rRNA from 1 species